UAGGGAAUCUUCCACAAUGGACGAAAGUCUGAUGGAGCAACGCCGCGUGAGUGAAGAAGGUUUUCGGAUCGUAAAGCUCUGUUGUUGGUGAAGAAGGAUAGAGGCAGUAACUGGUCUUUAUUUGACGGUAAUCAACCAGAAAGUCACGGCUAACUACGUGCCAGCAGCCGCGGUAAUACGUAGGUGGCAAGCGUUGUCCGGAUUUAUUGGGCGUAAAGCGAGCGCAGGCGGAAUGAUAAGUCUGAUGUGAAAGCCCACGGCUCAACCGUGGAACUGCAUCGGAAACUGUCAUUCUUGAGUGCAGAAGAGGAGAGUGGAACUCCAUGUGUAGCGGUGGAAUGCGUAGAUAUAUGGAAGAACACCAGUGGCGAAGGCGGCUCUCUGGUCUGCAACUGACGCUGAGGCUCGAAAGCAUGGGUAGCGAACAGGAUUAGAUACCCUGGUAGUCCAUGCCGUAAACGAUGAGUGCUAGGUGUUGGAUCCUUUCCGGGAUUCAGUGCCGCAGCUAACGCAUUAAGCACUCCGCCUGGGGAGUACGACCGCAAGGUUGAAAC
rnacentral:rRNA from 1 species